rnacentral:rRNA from 1 species
UAGGGAAUCUUCGGCAAUGGACGAAAGUCUGACCGAGCAACGCCGCGUGAGUGAAGAAGGUUUUCGGAUCGUAAAACUCUGUUGUUAGAGAAGAACAAGGACGUUAGUAACUGAACGUCCCCUGACGGUAUCUAACCAGAAAGCCACGGCUAACUACGUGCCAGCAGCCGCGGUAAUACGUAGGUGGCAAGCGUUGUCCGGAUUUAUUGGGCGUAAAGCGAGCGCAGGCGGUUUCUUAAGUCUGAUGUGAAAGCCCCCGGCUCAACCGGGGAGGGUAAUUGGAAACUGGGAGACUUGAGUGCAGAAGAGGAGAGUGGAAUUCCAUGUGUAGCGGUGAAAUGCGUAGAUAUAUGGAGGAACACCAGUGGCGAAGGCGGCUCUCUGGUCUGUACCUGACGCUAAGGCUCGAAAGCGUGGGGAGCAAACAGG